UCAGGUGGCCGCAGAGAAUAGGCCCAAGCGACUGUUUACCAAAAACAUAGGUUUCUGCUAAGUCGCAAGACGAUGUAUAGGAGCUGACGCCUGCCCGGUGCUGGAAGGUUAAGGGGAUCUGUUAGAGCAAUCGAAGCAGUGAACUUAAGCCCCAGUAAACGGCGGCCGUAACUAUAACGGUCCUAAGGUAGCGAAAUUCCUUGUCGGGUAAGUUCCGACCCGCACGAAAGGCGUAACGAUUUGGGCACUGUCUCAACAACAGACUCGGUGAAAUUGUAAUUCCGGUGAAGAUGCCGGAUACCUGCGACAGGACGGAAAGACCCCAUGGAGCUUUACUGUAGCUUGACAUUGGGUCUUGGUACUACAUGUACAGGAUAGGUGGGAGGCUUUGAAACCAGGACGCCAGUUUUGGCGGAGCCAUCCUUGGGAUACCACCCUUGUAGUACUGGGACUCUAACCAUAGGCCAUGAAUCUGGUCUUGGGACACUGUCAGGUGGGCAGUUUGACUGGGGCGGUCGCCUCCCAAA
rnacentral:rRNA from 1 species